AGAACGAACGCUGGCGGCAUGCCUAACACAUGCAAGUCGAACGCUUGUCCGGCUUCGGCCGGGCAGGAGUGGCGCACGGGUGAGUAGCGCGUGGGAACCUGCCCUGUUGUGGGGGAUAACCGAGGGAAACUUCGGCUAAUACCGCAUGCGCCCGGGGAAACCCGGGGAAAGAUUUAUCGCAGCAGGAGGGGCCCGCGUCGGAUUAGGUAGUUGGUAGGGUAACGGCCUACCAAGCCUGUGAUCCGUAGCUGGUCUGAGAGGAUGAUCAGCCACACUGGGACUGAGACACGGCCCAGACUCCUACGGGAGGCAGCAGUGGGAAUAUUGGACAAUGGGCGCAAGCCUGAUCCAGCAAUGCCGCGUGAGUGAUGAAGGCCUUAGGGUUGUAAAGCUCUUUCGCCCGCGACGAUGAUGACGGUAGCGGGAGAAGAAGCCCGGCUAACUUCGUGCCAGCAGCCGC
rnacentral:rRNA from 1 species